UUCGAGUUCCGAGACUAUCGUGUUUCUUCGAAUAGCAGGGAAUUAGUCGGAUCAAAAGUCCGAAUAUCCCUGCAUCCAAAAAAAAAAAAAAAAAAAGAGUUCAACUCCUCCACGUCGACGACGUGUAACGUGCUUCCAUGUAAGCUUGCGUUAUUAAUUGCUGUCUCCAACACCAUCUACUCAACAUAAUCAAUCAAUGAAAGAGCAACCGUCCUUCAAUUCAGAUAGUGGCAGCAGGGUGCCAUUCGUCCAUGUGUUUGUACCUCCUGCCGACGAAUUGACCGUUCUAGCUUUCAUCCUCUAUGUGUAUGUCGGUCGGUAAGAGGCUAAGAGCCUAUUGGUGCAAGUGUUGGCUUGGGCAUAAGGGCUCUUUUUGCUGGGUCAAGGAAGAAUAAUAAAUAAUAAUGAUAAUAGCCAUUCUCCGCCGCCGUGACAAAUGCUAGAACUAUUUUCCAGUUUCCCACGCUCUCGCGGGCCUAGAAAGGUCACAGGGCUGGCACCAAAAGCAGAACAAAAAGUUUGAAGAAAUUAUUGUCCUCGUGCACAAAGCUGUGUGUGUGUGUGUGUUGGGAAGUUUAGUAGCAAGGGAUGAUGAUAUUAUAUUAAUUAUUUGUUGCCAAAAAUCAGAAAAGAGGGAGAUGUUCUCGGUUGCUGAACUUUAAACAAUUUAAAUACCUUCACCGUUUGACUGCAUCCCUUCACCAUUGAAUAUUUGAUUGAUGGAAGAAAACAACCAGCAGUACUC
rnacentral:lncRNA from 1 species